UUUCUCUCUUCGCCUGCUGCCGUCCAUGUAAGAUGGGACUUGCUCCUCCUUGCCUUCCACCAUGAUUGUGAGGCUUCCUCAGCCACGUGGAACUAUGCCCUGACCUUCCGGGAAACCCUCGGUGAGAGGCCCACAGCCUCGCUUCUAGGGUCACCACUGCUUCUUCCAGUCUAGCCAAACAGCUCCUAGUACAGCUCAGAGCACCCUGCAAGGAGGGCACGUGUUAAAUCGAGGAGCACACAUGCUCCACGAGGAAUUCUUUGCUUUGAGGCCAUGCACAGAGGUGGGUUCACUAUGAAGCUUGUGAAAUAAGCUUCAGGGCCCGCAUUUGCAUGGGCCACAGAGAGUCUGGGAGCUGCAGAAGGUUCAAGGGAAGAGGAGCCAUCACAAGCAGAAUAUUCUAGAAGGCAUUUCUGGCAAAUGGCCCAAAGAGGCCUCAGGAGAAAAGAACUUGAGUCUUCAAGGUAACCUGCGACUUUUUUGUCUCAUUUUAAAUAUCAACUUUCAUGCCUAAUUUUUAUAA
rnacentral:lncRNA from 1 species